rnacentral:rRNA from 1 species
GACGGAGGAUGCAAGCGUUGUCCGGAAUCAUUGGGCGUAAAGCGCGUGUAGGCGGCUCGGUAAGUCUGCUGUGAAAGUCCAGGGCUCAACCCUGGGAUGCCGGUGGAUACUGUCGAGCUCGAGUCCGGAAGAGGCGAGUGGAAUUCCUGGUGUAGCGGUGAAAUGCGCAGAUAUCAGGAAGAACACCAAUGGCGAAGGCAGCUCUCUGGGACGGUACUGACGCUGAGACGCGAAAGCGUGUGGAGCGAACAGG